rnacentral:pre_miRNA from 1 species
CAGAUUUGCUUUUUCUCUUCCAUGCCUUGAGUGUAGGACCGUGACAUCUUAAUUACCCUCCCACACCCAAGGCUUGCAGGAGAGCAAGCCUUCUC